ensembl:snoRNA SNORA4 small nucleolar RNA, H/ACA box 4
CUACCAAAAGUUAGCUUUUUGGGGGGCAGGUUUUUAAGUAACCUUUGCCAACUUGGGCUAUUUGGAAGAGUAAAAGACCACACUCCACAGUGGGCUAUACCACUUAGUAUAGUUCGCUACUAUUUUGUGGCCUACAUG